rnacentral:rRNA from 1 species
AACGAACGCUGGCGGCAGGCUUAACACAUGCAAGUCGAGCGCCCCGCAAGGGGAGCGGCAGACGGGUGAGUAACGCGUGGGAAUCUACCCAUCCCUACGGAAUAACGCAUGGAAACGUGUGCUAAUAACGUAUCCGUCCUUCGGGAGAAAGAUUUAUCGGGGAUGGAUGAGCCCGCGUUGGAUUAGCUAGUUGGUGGGGUAAAGGCCUACCAAGGCGACGAUCCAUAGCUGGUCUGAGAGGAUGAUCAGACACACUGGGACUGAGACACGGCCCAGACUCCUACGGGAGGCAGCAGUGGGGAAUAUUGGACAAUGGGCGCAAGCCUGAUCCAGCCAUGCCGCGUGAGUGAUGAAGGCCCUAGGGUUGUAAAGCUCUUUCACCGGUGAAGAUAAUGACGGUAACCGGAGAAGAAGCCCCGGCUAACUUCGUGCCAGCCGCCGCGGUAACAC